ensembl:lncRNA
GGUGGGAUCACUUAUAUUUGUCGCUCCGUUGCUGUCGGCACCCACCGAAUCUCACUUGUCCUCUAUGGGUCGCAGGAGAGCUAUUGGCAUCUUCUACAGUCUGUGGUUAGUACACCUAGCUAUGCUGCUUUUGCCCUGGGGUCUUCCAGCCUUGUGGCUGGCGGCUGGGUGCCUUCUACUGGUGCUGUGCAGAGGCUUUCCCUAAGGCUGCUGUGAGCCUGUAGGGUUUCCCCCUAGGCUACUAAGCUGGGUCUCUGGAACUCUCUCCAGCCCCAGUCCUCUCCGAGAUCUCCGGCAAUCCCUAGUCUCACGGGGCGGGCAACGGCAGCUGGGGGUCGCCCCGCCCUCUGGGCUUCUCUCCGGGCCUCUCCCGGGAGCCCUGAAUGCUGGACGUGGCCCCUCUGGUAAUGGCAGACAGAGAGUUUUGUCUGCUGCCUGGCGGAACUCCGGCGCUUCCCCUCCGGGUCGCAGAACCGGCCUUUGAAAGUUCCCCCCGCCCCGGUCCUCUCCGAGAUCUCUGGCAAUCCCUAGCCCCACGGGGCGGGCAACAGCAGCUGGGAGUCGCCCCGCCCUCUGGGCUUCUCUCCGGGCCUCUCCCGGAGCCGUGAAUGCUCAGCGUGGCCCCUCUGCUAAUGGCAGACAGAGAGUUUUGUCUGCUGCCCAGGCGGAGCUCUGGCGCUUCCCCUCCAGGUUGCAGAACCGGCCUUUGAAAGUUCCCCCAGCCCCGGUCCUCUCCGAGAUUUCCGGCAAUCCCUAGUCCCACGGGGCAGGCAACGGCAGCUGGGAGACCUCCGUACCCUCCGUGACUCUCUCUGGGACCCUCCGGGCGCCCCGAGCACCAGGCUGGGUCUCCCCGCCAAUGGUGGGGAGAGACUCUCCCCGCGGGCUCAGGUGUGCAACUCCAAAGUUUCCCUCUGCGUUUAGGAGUAAUUGCGGGGGGUUUAGGUAGGGUUCUGGUCACCUGUUUCCACCGUCGCUCCUCUGUUGUGUUCUCGCUCCUGCCCUAGAUGUAUGUGGAUCCUCUGGGGGCGUCUGUUGGAAGAAAGCCGCUUGCGGGUACUAGGCUGCCUGUCGGGGUCGGAGAGUUUUCACCUAUUUCCCCAUCCUCCCGGAGGAAAGUCCGUCCGCCUUCCGAUGUAUAGUCGCGUGGGUGUCUCAGACGUCCUGAGAUGCUGUCUGGAUAUCCUUUGUCAAGCGAUAAGUGUCCAAAUAAUUGUAGACUCGAAGGGCGAGAGACAAAGAGGACUACUCACGGCGCCAUCUUGGAUCUUCUCCCUCUUAUUCUUUUUUCAAGAACAAACUUUUGACUUGGUUGUUGCUUUCAAUUGUUAUGUUUAUUUUCUAUUGUCCUCAUUUUGGCUUUUAUUUUAUUGUUUCCCUCCUUGUACUUUCUUAUAGUGAUUCUGGGGGAAUUUCUUGUUGCUGUGCUAGUGUGUAGGAUAUCUUCCAUUUGCCCCACUGGAUGUACUCUCUACCGUUUUCAUACCGAGAGAGUGACUUGUCCUCUACUCCUGUAGUUGUGUAUAAACUGCAUCAAUGGGCUCACUUGCUCUCUGGCUUGCAAUUGGGUCCAACCAAUGCAGCAUCUAGGCAGGAGAUUGGAGAGAGAAAAUAGAAUGAGGUCAUGAUAUUUAUUCCCAUGGCUCCCUUCUGGCAGGAUUGCUUCAGUCUGGCUAGUGUUUUCAGUUGAAGGUCACUGUCUCAACUCUCUCUUCAGGUAAUGGUAACCUUUCCAUUUCCUUGUUCCCUUCAGGCUAGGAACAGUAAUGGCAGUGCUAUUACUAGUCCCAGACUACUGAAUUAUCCCUUGUGGUUCUGCCCUCUGCCCAUACCUUUGUAAAUAGUCUUUUUAUUAAACUCUCCUCUAAUGUUCCUAAUUUGAAUGAGCUGUCUAUUUCCUGCCAGGUGCCUACUUGAUAAACCUAGAGACUAUUAUGACUGGUACAUGUUCUUAAUUUAAAGUCAAGUUAAUCAUUAUCUUUACACUCCUCCCAAAUAAGAGAAAUACAUUAGAUCAGCAAGAUUGCAGGAUACAAGAUUAAUACACAAAAAUCAGUUUAUUUCUAUACAUUUGCAAUUAACAAUCCAGAAGUGAAAUUAAGAAAACAAUUCCUUUUACAAUAAGAUAGAAAAGAAUAAGUUACUUGGGAGUAAAUUUAACAAAAGAAAGACUGGAGGAUUAUGCACUGAAAACUAUAAAAUAUUGUUAGAAAUUUUUCAAAAGUAAAUGGAAAAAUAUUUCCAUGUUCAUGGAUUAGAAGACAUAAUAUUGUUAAGAUGGCAUUACGACCCAAAUUGACCUACAGAUUCAAUGCAACUGAUACCAGACCUCUUAAUCUCAAGUUCCUGUGCCCAAUGCACAGCAAGCCAAACCCUGAGACAUCAGUGCUUGGCGAUAGAGAAGAUUUAUUCAAAUUGGCCCAAACAAGAAGGCAGGAGCCUGGGUUUGCUCAAAUCUGCCUUCCCAAGAACAGAAAGCAGGGAGUUUUAUAGAGCUAAGGGGCUUGGCAGGAGGAGCUUUGGAGAAACAAAGGGAUCACUCCAGAUAAGCCCCUGGGCAGUCUGACUCCCGGGCCUCAGGGCAGGAUCUGGUGAUUGCAUCCUCCCCUAAGGCAUUCUCUUUCUUCUGCUAAACAAACUCACAAAUCCUUCCUCCGCAAGUUCAACAAGAAAACAGCAAAUUGACAAGAUUCGUCUAUGUCUGUGUUGGGGAACAAGGUCAAAAGGCAAUCAUGUUCUUAGUAUCUACAGUAACCCUCAGGUACUGACUUCACAAUCUCUAUCAAAAUUCCAGCUGCUGUUUUUUUAGAGAAAUUGACAACUUGACCCUAAAGUUAAUAUGAAAAUUCAAGGGACCCAGAAUAGCCAAAACAAUUUUGAAAAAGAAGAACAAAGCUGGAGGAUUCACACAUCCUGAUUUCAAAACUUAAUAUAAAGCUUCAAUAAUCAAGAGAGUGUAGUACUGACAUAAGGAUAGACAUAAAUUAAUGGAAUAGAACUGAAAGUCCAGAAAUAAACUGUUAUAUUUACGGUCAAUUGAGUUUUGGAAAAGGUGCCAAGGGAGUCCAAUGGGGAACAUUUUUAAGAAACGUUGUGGGGACAACAGGAUAUCUAUCUGCAAAAGAAAGAUUGUGAACCUCUAUUUCAUGCAAUAUAAAAAAAUCAACUCAAUGAAUCAAAGAUUUAAAUAGGAGCUAAAACUAUAAAAUUCUUAGAAGAAAACAAAGGCGUAAAUCUUUGUGACCUUGGACUAGAUAAUGGUUUCUUAGAAGACACCUACAGCACAUGUAAACAAAGAAAAGCAGAUAAAUUGGACUUCCUCAAAAUUGAACACUUUUGUGCUUCAAAGGACACUAUCAAUAAAAUGAAAAGACAACCCACAGAAUGGAAGAAAAUAUUUGCAAAUCAAAUAUCUGAUGAGAGUCUAGUAUCCAGAAUAUAUAAAGAACUCUUAGAACUCAACCAUAAAAAGCCAACCCAAUCAAAAAAUGGGCAAAGGAGAUAAGUAGACGUUUCUCCAAAGAAGUAUACAGAUGGCCAAUAGACACAUGAAACAUCAACAUCGUUAGUCACUAGGGAAAUGCAAAUCAAAACCACAAUGAGAUACCACUUCACCCCCACUAUGUUGGUGUCUUAGUCUGCUUGGGCUGCUAUAACAAAAUGCCAUAAACUGAGUGGCUUAUAGACAACAGAAAUGUAUUUCUCACAGUUCUGGAGGCUGGGAAGUCCAAGAUCAAGUGCCGGCAGAUUCCAUGUCUGGUGAGAGCCUGCUUCCUAGGUAGCUGUCUUUUCACCGUAACCCCACGUGUCAGAAGGGAUGAGGGAUCUCUCUGGGGUCUCUUUUAUAAGGGUACUAAUCCCAUUCAUGAGGGCUCCAUCUUCAUGACCUAAUCACCUACCAAAGGCCCCACCUCCUAAUGCCAUCACCUUGGGUGUUAGGAUUUCAGCAUAUGAAUUUUGGGAGGACAUAAACAUUCGCUUCAUUGCCGAUGGCUAUAAUAAAAAAGAUGGACAAACACAGGUUAUCCAGGAUGUGGAGAAUUUGGAACCUUCAUUCGUUGGUGGUGGGAAUGUAAAAUGGGGCAGGUGGUUUGGAAGAUAGUUUGGCAGUUCCUCAAAAAGUUAAACAUAGAAUAACUAUAUGACCCACUAAUUCCACUCCUAGGUAUAUAUAUACCCAAGAGAAACGAAAACAUGUGUCCACACAAAAUUGUACGCCAAUGUUCGUAGCAGUGUAAUUCAUAAGAGCCAAAGGCGGAAAAAACCCUAAUGUCCAUUAACUGACAAAUGGGUAAACAAAAUGUGGUAUAUCCAUACAGUGGAAUAUUAUUCAGCACAAAAAGGAAUGAAAUGCUGAUAAAUACUACAACAUGGGUAAACUUUGAAAAUAUAUGCUAAGUGGAAGAAGCCAGACACAAAAGACUUCAUACUGUAUUAUUCCUUUUACAUGAAGCAUCUAGCAUAGACAAGUCCUUAGAGACAGAAAGUAAAUUGGUAGUUGCCAGGGACCAGGGGAGGGGAAAUAGGGAGUUUCUUCUAAUGGGUAUAGGUUGGUUUUUUUGGCAGGUGAUGAAAAUGUUCUAGAAUUAGAUAGUGAUGAUGGUUACACAACUUUGUGGAUAUACUAAAAACCCCUGAGCUGUACACUUUAAUAGGGUGAAUUUUGUGGCAUAUGAAUUAUAUCUCAAUAUACAGGCAAAAAAAAAAAGGAAAAGAAAAAGAACACCCAUCUCCCCUCAUGAAGCAGCAGCAUUUGUAGGCACAGUGUGGUCUAAAUCCAUUCUUGGAAAAUAAAUUUACCAAAGGAAACAUUCUGCAUGCAGAGAGCUUUAAAAAAACCAACAGAAGGGGCUGGCCCCGUGGCCGAGUGGUUAAGUUCGUGCGCUCUGCUGCAGGCGGCCCAGUGUUUCGUUAGUUCGAAUCCUGGGCGCAGACAUGGCACUGCUCAUCGGACCACGCUGAGGCAGCGUCCCACAUGCCACAACUAGAAGAACCCACAACGAAGAAUAUACAAGGGACAGCCCUGUUGUUAACUCUGGUGCACUCCGCUUCAGCGGCCCGGGUUCGCUGGUUCAGAUCCCAGACGUGGACCUACACCACUUGUCAAGCCAGGCUGUGGUGGUGAUCCACAUAAAAAAGAGAGGAGGAUUGACACAGAUCUGUAUCUUCCUCAAGCAAAAAAUGAGGAAGAUUGACAACAGAUGUUGGCUCAGAGAGAAUCUUCCUCACCAAAGAAAAAAAAUUGCUUUCCAGAAAGAUAUAUCAAUUUAUAUUUUCACCAUCAGCAUUCUAUUAGUACAACUGAGGAGGGGCAUCUUUUUACACAGUUAAUGGCCAUUUAUUUUUCUUCUGUGAAUUGCCUUCUCCUUUCUACCUAUUUUUCUAUUGUGUUAUUUGGUUUUUCCUUAUAUUUUUGUAAAAGUUCAUGC